AAAAUAGAAGCCGUUGUGAAAUAGUUAUGGCACAUAAAGUAAAAUAUCUUUUCUGUUUUUUUUCUGUGUUUACUUUUCAGAAAUUAGCCAACCUUCGAUGCCAGCUACAAGAUCUUCUGUGAGAGGAUCAUCCGCCAUAGAAUAAUUGUAAACCAAGAGGUGCUGACAAUGAUGCAGCUAAGAAGAAUCUUUUUAAAUCUUGUGAAAAAACAAGAAGAUCUUGAUGCUUCAAACUACAGGCAGGAUAAAUUGAAGAGGAGGUUGAUCCGUGAUUUCCCCCAGCUGGUGUUUCA